rnacentral:tRNA from 1 species
GGGCCGUUGGAGCAGCCUGGAGUGCUCGUCUCCCUGUCACGGAGAAGAUCACGGGUUCAAAUCCCGUACGGCCCG